ACACAGGCAAGGGCGGGGGGCGAGGGUAAGGGGUGGGUAAGGGGGGGCAGGGGGGGUGGAGGGAUAGGGGGGGUCGAGGGUAAAGCAAGCAGUGCAUAUCAGCGAGACAGGGCAGAGGUUUUGUGUGUGUGUGCGUGUGUGUGUGUGUGUGUGCGCGCGUUUGGGGAGGAGAUGAAGGGACGGUAAGGUAAGGUGAACUAGGGUAAUCUAUCAACCAGUUACCUUUCUCCUACCUCCCUUCUUCUAUGGGUAGGUAGGAAGGUAAGGUAGGAAAGGUAAACUAAGGUAAUUUCUCAGCCAGUUACCUUCCUCCUCCUACCUUCUACCUCCCUUAUAAUUACAGGUAAGGUAGGUAAGGUUAACUAGGGUAAUAUAUCAACCAGUUACUUUCCUCUUAACUUCUACCUCCCGUCUUCUAAUCAUAGGUAGGAAGGUAGGCUGAUAGGUAAGGUUAACUAGGGUAAUUCCUCUUCUUACCUUCUACCUCCCUUCUUCUAAUCAUAGGUAGGAGAGAGAGGUCGAUAGGUAAGGUAUAUAAUCACUCUUCCAGUUAACCAGCCAGUACUUCCUUCCUUCACCUCCUCCUCCUUCCCAACACACACACACACACACACACACACACACACACACACACGUACACCCACACACACGCCCACACAUACUUACACACUAAAGCAUUACUGUACAGUGUGAGGGAUAUAUCUAAACAUACAUAUACUUUGUUUCCUCUCUCUUCUACAAUCUAUUAUUUUUUUUUUUUUCAGUGUUUAUAUGCAAAGGGUAGGAGUGUGUAUUUUCAUUUUGGUAACGUACAACUCAACGACAUAUGCCCUUAGGGAGACUAGAUGUAGGUAUGGUAUUUUAGGGCAUUCUUCGUUGUAGUCUUAAUAUUGGGUAUAAUCGUAAUGCCCCCAAUGAUACACAAACUUAACCCAGUAGCAGCGACGGGUCAAAUUUGUGACUUUACCGUGUACCAGUGACGGGCCAAAUUUGUGGCUUUACCAUGUACCAGCGACAGCCCAAAUUUGUGGCUUUACCAUGUACCAGCGACAGCCCAAAUUUGUGGCUUUACCGUGUACCAGCGACAGCCCAAAUUUGUGGCUUUACCGUGUACCAGUGACAGCUCAAAUUUGUGGCUUUACCAUGUACCAGCGACAGCCCAAAUUUGUGGCUUUACCGUGUACCAGCGAUGGGCCAAAUUUGUGGCUUUACCGUGUACCAGCAACGGGCCAAAUUUGUGGCUUUACCGUGUACCAGCGACAGCCCAAAUUUGUGGCUUUACUGUGUACCAGCGACGGGCCAAAUUUUGUGACUUUACCAUGUACCAGUGACAGCCCAAAUUUUUGCUAUGAUAGAUACCCCCCAAAAUAGAUGAUGUAUAAACUGAUCACAAACGCGUUGAUAUAUAUUAUGAAAUGGUUUGUGUGAGUGAUGAUUUUUUCUCAUUAUUCUCGUUUAGAGGGGCCGGCCUUUAAGAAACAUGGUCCCCGCAGCUACCAGGUUAAGAUAUCACUGUGGUAAGCUUCUGUAUAUUACGUUUAGCCUAGCGUACGAUAUGACUUUCUUCUGGCUUAAAACGAUACUGCUUUUUUAUGUGUUUUUCUAAGUCUAUAAGCUAUGGAAGCAAACUUUGGCUGAAUACAAAAGCACGAUAUAGAAUUUUUUACGCUUUGAUAUGGUUUUGCUAUUCUUAAGAAGCUACGGAAGCGAUAUUUGCAGCUCUGAAUCUUACGCUGACAAACUCUUUAUGUGUUUUUCCAAGUUUAUAGUUUAUGGAAGCAAACUUUGGGUGAAUACAAGAACACGAUAUUGAUUUUUAUACGCUUUUGAUGUGGUUUCGCUAUUCCUAAAAAAAAGUUAUGGAAGCAAAAUUUGACGUUCUGGAUCUUAUACCGACAAACUCUUAUAUUUUUUUUUUGUAAGCCUAAAUAAACUAUGGAGGCAAACUUUGAAUGAAAACUAAAAGACGUCAAUGAUUUUUACUCUUUUGAUGUGGUUUCGCUAUUUCUACAAAAUCCUACUGAAGUGAAAUUUGUCGUUCUGAAUCUUACGCUGGCAAACGAAAAAUCAAUAACCACUUAAAAACUAGAGCUAUGUAAUGCUCAUAACCGCUGGAGGAAGUUAUUAGUCUACCUCUCAUGGCCUUCAAGCGAUAGUAGAUGAUAUAUAUAGCGUUGGUAGAUUAACUCGUAAUUGACAACUCUGCGAAAUGAUCAUAAAACUAGCGAUGGUUUUUGAACGUUUAUCCACCGUAGAAAACUAUCAAAAAAUACUUGUUAUCGUCAGUUGUCGUUACUAGAAAUAGCUAGCUCAUAAACAGCCACUCUGGAAAUCCUUAUAAAGCUGAUAAUGACUUUCAAACACUUCAUCACUGUACGAAUCUAUUAAAAAACUAGCUAUGCCAUUCAAGCGCUGAGCAGUUAUGUUGUUACUAGAAAUAGCUAGCUCGUAAAUGACCACUCUACAAGAUCAUUAUAAAACAGAUGAUGGCUUUCAAAUAUUUAUCCACCGUACGAUAUGAUAAAAAAUUAGCGAUGGUCUUUAAGCGCUGAGUAAUUAUGUCGUUACUAGAAAUAGAUAGCUCAUAAAUGACCACUCUACAAGAUCAUUAUAAAACUGGCUAUGGAUUUCAAAUAUUUAUCCACCGUACGACAUGAUAAAAAAUUAGCUAUGGUCUUGAAACGCUGAGUAAUUAUGUCGUUACUAGAAAUAGAUAGCUUAUAAACAGCCACUCCACAAGAUCAUUAUAAAACAGACGAUGGCUUUCAAACAUUUAUCCACCGUACGAUAUGAUAAAAAAUUAGCUAUGGUCUUGAAGCGCUGAGUAAUUAUGUUGUUACUAGAAAUAGAUAGCUUAUAAACAGCCACUCUACAAGAUCAUUAUAAAACUGACUAUGGAUUUCAAAUAUUUAUCCACCGUACGAUAUGAUAAAAAACUAGCUAUGGUCUUGAAACGCUGAGUAAUUAUGUCGUUACUAGAAAGAUAGCUCGUAAGUGACCACUCUACAAGAUCAUUAUAAAACUGACGAUGGCCUUCAAAUAUUUAUCCUCUGUACGAUAUGAUAAAAAAUUAGCUAUGGUCUUGAAACGCUGAUUAAUUAUGUCGUUACUAGAAAUAGGUGAGUUAUAAAUAGCCACUUUGCAAUAUUAUAAUACUAGCCAUGACUUUCCAACACUUAUCCACCGUAGAAAACUAUCAUAAAAUAGCUGUGGCCUUUAAGCGCUUCGCAGUUAUACGUCGUUACUAAAAAUAAAUAGCUCGUAAAUAGCCUCUGAAAAUCCUUAUAAAACAGGCAAUGGCUUUUCAACAUCUAAUCACAGCGAGAAAUUACCACAAACUUCCUUAGGCCUUCAAGCUCUGAGUAAUUAUAUAUCACAAAGUAUCUAAAGCCUUCAAGUUCUGAGCAAUUAUAUAUCACAAAGUAUCUAAAGUCUUCUGGCUCUGAGUAAUUAUAUAUCACAAAGUAUCUAUGGCCUUCAAGCUCUGAGCAAUUAUAUAUCACAAAGUAUCUAAAGUCUUCUGGCUCUGAGCAAUUAUAUAUCACAAAGUAUCUAAGGUCUUCUGGCUCUGAGCAAUUAUAUAUCACAAAGUAUCUAAGGUCUUCUGGCUCUGAGCAAUUAUAUAUCACAAAGUAUCUAAGGUCUUCUGGCUCUGAGCAAUUAUAUAUCACAAAGUAUCUAAGGUCUUCUGGCUCUGAGCAAUUAUAUAUCACAAAGUAUCUAAGGUCUUCUGGCUCUGAGCAAUUAUAUAUCACAAAGUAUCUAAGGUCUUCUGGCUCUGAGCAAUUAUAUAUCACAAAGUAUCUAAGGUCUUCUGGCUCUGAGCAAUUAUAUAUCACAAAGUAUCUAAGGUCUUCUGGCUCU